rnacentral:rRNA from 2 species
CGAGAUGAGUUCUCCCUGAGACUUUAGGUCUCCUGAAGGAACGUUGAAGACGACGACGUUGAUAGGCCGGGUGUGUAAGCGCAGCGAUGCGUUGAGCUAACCGGUACUAAUGAACCGUGAGGCUUAACCUUACAACGCCGAAG